CUCUUGGAUCUCUGGACUCCAUUAAUAAUAUUAUGGAUUACUCUUCCCCCUUGCAUUUACAUGGCUCCGAUGAAUCAGUCUCAAGUUUUAAUGAGUGGAUCCCCUUUGGAACUAAACAGUCUGGGUGAAGAACAGCGAAUUUUGAACCGCUCCAAAAGAGGCUGGGUUUGGAAUCAAAUGUUUGUCCUGGAAGAGUUUUCUGGACCUGAACCGAUUCUUGUUGGCCGGCUACACACAGACCUGGAUCCUGGGAGCAAAAAAAUCAAGUAUAUCCUAUCAGGUGAUGGAGCUGGGACCAUAUUUCAAAUAAAUGAUGUAACUGGAGAUAUCCAUGCUAUAAAAAGACUUGACCGGGAGGAAAAGGCUGAGUAUACCCUAACAGCUCAAGCAGUGGACUGGGAGACAAGCAAACCUCUGGAGCCUCCUUCUGAAUUUAUUAUUAAAGUUCAAGACAUCAAUGACAACGCACCAGAGUUUCUUAAUGGACCCUAUCAUGCUACUGUGCCAGAAAUGUCCAUUUUGGGUAUGUAUGCUUCCAAUUUCACAGAACUAUUAAAAGUCAUCUUUAGAAU
rnacentral:sRNA from 1 species